rnacentral:rRNA from 1 species
UACGGAGGAUGCAAGCGUUAUCCGGAUUCAUUGGGUUUAAAGGGUGCGUAGGCGGACUAUUAAGUCAGUGGUGAAAGCCUGCAGCUUAACUGCAGAACUGCCAUUGAUACUGAUAGUCUUGAGUUUGGUUAAGGUAGGCGGAAUGUGUAAUGUAGCGGUGAAAUGCUUAGAUAUUGCACAGAACACCAAUUGCGUAGGCAGCUUACUGAGCCGACACUGACGCUGAGGCACGAAAGCGUGGGGAUCGAA